rnacentral:rRNA from 1 species
UAAUACGGGGGGGGCAAGCGUUGUUCGGAUUUAUUGGGCGUAAAGGGCGUGUAGGUGGUUGUAUAAGUUAGACGUGAAAACUCUUGGCUUAACCAAGAGACUGCGUCUAAUACUGUAUAGCUUGAGUGCAGGAGAGGAGAGUGGAAUUCCCAGUGUAGCGGUGAAAUGCGUAGAUAUUGGGAGGAACACCAGUGGCGAAGGCGGCUCUCUGGACUGACACUGACACUGAGGCGCGAAAGCUAGGGGAGCAAACAGGAUUAGAUACCCUGGUAGUCCUAGCCGUAAACGAUGGGUACUAGGUGUAGAAGGUAUCGACCCCUUCUGUGCCGUAGCUAACGCAUUAAGUACCCCGCCUGGGGAGUACGGUCGCAAGAUUA